AAAGUUUAUCGUAAAUCACUUUUCUUUUAAACUAAGGUUUAGUUUGGUAUUGAGGCCUAUCUAACGUUUUUAGAUAAAAUGGAGUUGGGGUAAAAACAUAUAGGGACAUACUUCUGCGUUCUCCGGUGGGACCGCAAAAAAUAUAUCGUAACCGACAAAUCGCGAUAUGCGGAGCGCUAUAUUAUGUUUGAAAACAAACAGAGCAUUUUUUUAUCGUACUUUCUCACGGCACGUAACGCUAAGCCUAAGUCAAAUACUCUAUAGCUUUUAAUAGAAAUCACUUCUCCAAAUCAAAAUCAAUUAUGUAGAAAUUACUUUUUCAAAAUCUAGGCCAAA
rnacentral:lncRNA from 1 species